GUUUAGGGCCACACCACCUUGAGCACGCCCCAUCUCGUCUGAUCUCGGAAGCUAAGCAGGGUCGGGCCUGGUUGGUACUUGGAUGGGAGACGGCCUGGGAAUACCAGGUGCUAUAAGCU
ensembl:rRNA 5S_rRNA 5S ribosomal RNA